CUAUAACUAUCGAUUGAUUUGUGUGUGGUAAAAUUCUUCAUGUGAAGUUGUUGUUUGCUUGUUCGUCGUUCCCUAAAAUUAAUGUACAUUUUUUAAAUAUUUGUGGUUCAACAACAAUGGAUUUGUUGUAAAAAAGAUAUGUGUGUAGUCUUUACUUAUAAAUAGCCAUCGAAUUUAAUUUAUUACUUGGUGCAUCUACGAGGAUACGUUUAAAUUUGUAAAUAAUGGAUUGGAUUAUUUCGGAUGAGUUGGGUCUGACUGUGGGCCAUCUCGUGGGCUGGGGAGCGGCUGGUGCUAUGAUUAUUGGAGGUGUAGCGCCAUACAUUCCACAAUACAGGCAAAUAAGAAGGACACAGGAUGCUGAAGGCUUUUCCCUUUAUGUCUGUUUAGCUCUUCUUAUAGCCAAUACUCUUAGGAUAUUAUUUUGGUUUGGAAAGCGUUAUGAAUUACCACUAUUAAUACAAAGUAUUGUUAUGAACAUAACAAUGUUUGUCAUGAUUCACCUUUGUGUGACUGUCCGUAAAAAGAACCAAAUCAUAAGGGCUAGAGAAAGAAUAUUUACAGGUGCAAUAUUCAUGUUAUAUAUACUGUUGUGUUGUGUGAAUGGAUCAGCCCAGCCCGACGAAACUGCACACUGGCUCGACCAACGCAGCGGCAUCGCAGGGCGGGAAAAACCUCGCCGCUUCUAUGAUAUGGACAGAAAGUAUUUCUGGGCAUGGACAGACUUCCAAAGCUACUUGGACUGCAUGCUCGUAUUCUCAGUAUUUGGUGCGGCGGUGACGUACCUACUGAUAGAGUUCUCGCCGUUCGUUGAGCUGAUCGGCUUCCUAGCCGUAUUCACGGAAGCCAUGCUCGGCGCGCCACAGAUUGCCAAAAAUCAUCAAAACAAAAGUACCGAAGGGAUGAGUGUUAGCAUGGUGAUAAUGUGGACUUGUGGUGACGUUUUCAAGACUGCUUAUUUCGUUUUAAGAGAAGCCCCGACGCAGUUUUGGGUGUGUGGAGCGCUUCAAGUCUCCUUAGAUGUAGUAAUUCUCUUCCAAGUGUGGCUAUACCGCCACAACACGGCGGCGGCGCGGCGCGUGCGGCGCGGCGACUAGCAGUGGACCGAAACGGACUUAUAGCACUCGCGCCCGCGGGCCCACACGCCCUCGGUGCCCCUAUGCCUCCCACGCUGCUUAUGACCCAGUCUACCUACAUCUAGGUUGUGCUACUCGAACCGACUAUACUUUCGGUAUACAGAGUGUACUUUUCUAGUGUGCGUCGUUCCAAAUUUGAAGCUGGAAUUGUGGAAAAUGCUGAAAGGAGUCUCCUAGCCGAUUUUGGUGGAUACCAAAACGUUAUCAUCAGAUUUUCUGGAAAAGGAUUUUAAGAAAACCAAGUAAUUUGGCAAACUAAGGGAAUGUGACAAUUUCAAAAAUUUAAGGAUGCAGUUUUUUAAUAUUAAACAAAAUUGAUCCUAAAUAUUCUUGCAGCUAUUCUAUAAAGUUUCGAAUUUGAAAAACGCUUCGUGGAAAUUCACCUCGUGUUAAAAUUCACUACCUGCACAACAACUAACCAAAAUUAUUGUCUUUAGAUGAAUUUACAGUAGAACUGUUUUGAAAUGAUUUUACCUAUUUUUUAUUUGUAUCAAUUUCAUAGGUUCGCGGUGCUAUAGGUUUGUGCCUAAAAUUUAAUAUACCAACGACGUUUAGUCCUUUUAAAUAUUGGUUACCUGGAGUAUUGUUACUUGAAUUUAGACGUAAUUUAGGGCGAGUAGAGCAGCUUAGUGAAUAUCAACUGGCCAAAAUGCCGAGUGAUUUACUAGUCGUUGUUUAGAAGCUUUACAAAUCUUGUUACGGUCGACUUUUGUAGUUUAAACAAAUCUUUUAUUAAAACAACGAUUUUUAAAUUAGUCUAGUUUAGUUUUACAUUGAGUAAAUCUAAACUAUUCGGAAUUGAUAAUAACUGUCUAGUUCAUAUAAUGUUGCUGUACAAUUCUACUGUAACUGGUAUGGUACAAUUUAUCGACAUUAUAUAAUGUUUUAUAGUAACUAAAGGGUGUAAAUAAAUUUAUAGUUACAUUAUUUUUAGCGAAAUCAUAUCUAUACGAGCUAUACAAGAGAACGGGUUCCUUAUUAUUCCCAUAUUAAAUGUUGCUGUAACUAUAGGUAUAAGAUUACGUAAUUUCCAAAGGCACUCCGUUCUUUUGUACAACCUGUAUAUAAAGAAUAUUAGGACUAUUGCUGCUGUAAAUAUUUAUUAACAUUAGUCUAAUAAGUUUGAGAGCAGAAGCAAUUGUUGACAACUUCCAAGAUUACUUCAGGUCUUGAAGCCUGUUUUUUAUUAUAAGACGUCAUCUAAUUAUAUCACAUUAUGUUCACCACAUUUAUAGUUGUAUAUUACUAAAUCUGAGAUUUGUAUAAAGCGUUUGGGCUUCCAUUUCCAAUGGGGUUUCGUGAUAGCUGAUUAGAUCAUUCCAAUAAUAUUAUCAUUAAAUUAACGCCCUAAUGGCGCCCAAACUUAUAAAAACAGUUGAAAAUAACAUUAGUAUAGUUAGAAAGGAAUACCUUACAUAAAAAUCGUAUAGACGCCAAAAAAGUUACGUUCAACGUUGAAUGCACAACUAAAGCCAGUCUAUACCUACUUGGAAUCGAUGUUUAAUUGAAAAUAAUAAAUUAAACCAUGUUUUACAAUUAUUUUACUCUCUUAUAAUGUUUGUAUCCUUCAUAAUUUUCAAAUAGUUUUGAUAGGUAUCUAUUUGUGAUAUUUUUUAAAAUACCUAAGCAAUAAGUUGUGUCACCUACAUGUACAAAUACUAAGAAUUAAAAUAACUUGGUACCUGUGUUGGGUUUAUUUAAAAGUACACUUUCUUUGUAUUAGAAUGAAAUGUUGAUAAAUAAAUAUUUUUACUCAAAUAUUUUCUACUCCAUUAUAAUAAAAAUGGCAACCUAUCUUAAUUUUAUAAACAAAUAAUGAAUAGGUUGUAAUAGUCAAUAAUUUUAAUACAAAAAUAAAGUAGACAAUUCUCCAUAGAUGUUGUUUGUAAAUUAAAUAAUGUGCAAUAACUGUGUGAUAACUUAUCGUGGUCAUACAAAUUCAUUAAUGCACACUGUUUCAUAUUUGUAUCUUGUGUUUAAGAAUAAUAAUAUUGAUAAAUUAUUGACGAUUAAAUGUGUGACAAUUUGUGUGUUGUACAUAAGUUUAUAGGUGAGAAUAAAUAGUGUAAUUUUUCUAGACAUUUCAAAUAACCGUUAUGUAAUUAAAUAGAUUUUUUUUUUUAAAAAGUCAAUAUUUUUAGCAUUUGUUCCAUGUUGAUUGUUGAUACUUAGCUAAAGUAUCGGUACGUUUUCCAAUAUGAAUUAAUUUAAAGUCUUCCUUUUUUGCAAUCCUCUAUGGAUUAAUAGACCAAUUUGAAAUUGAAAUGAGCUGUUUGUUUCGGGAGUUCGAAUUGAUUCACUAGGCAAUAUGUACAUUUCUACUCACAUCAGUAUUAUUAAAUGAUUGUAAUAAUAAAAAUAGACAUGUUUAAUGUAAACUCAAUUACAUAAAUUGUAUCUGUAAAGCUUUCCUGAUAUAAAUGAUAUCUCCCAAAUAAACCGCUACGACCUCAACACG